rnacentral:rRNA from 1 species
GGCGGCGUCGAGCUGUCGCGCGCCCUGGAGGUCCUCUGGGCCCCUGUCCUCCUCAUCCACCUCGGCGGCCAGCAGGAGAUGACCGGCUACGAGAUCGAGGACAACGAGCUAUGGACGAGGCACACCGUGACCCUGGUAUCACAGGUCGCGGUCGCACUCUACGCCUUCUGCAAGUCGUGGCGCAGCUCCAGUGACUGGAAGCUACUGGCGGCGGCGGUCCUUCUCUUCGUCGUCGGUGUCCUCAGCUUCAGCGAGAAGCCGUUGGCCCUCAACAGGGCCAAGAUCAAGAGGCUGGCGGCUGUGUCGGCCUGGGUGCAAGGAACCAAGAAGCCUUCCAAGUGGAGGAAGCGCGUCAACCAGUUCUUCUUGUUCGAGGAGAGCAACUGCUUCACCGGGAUGCCCACACAAAGCAGUGGCGGCGGCGGGGAAGAAGGAGCCGGCGGGAAGGAGCAAAAACCACCAGUGGCAGACAAGGUCUUGAUGGUACUUUCGGACAUGUCACUGCUAGCUGCUGCCAAGGACCUGGUGUCACGAAACAAGGCUGGCAAGGUGGAGGAUGUUCUGCCUCCUCUACCCGUCGCCGAGAAGGCCUUGCCGCGCUGGCUGCGCAGUGCAUUCGCCUUCAUCUACACCAGAGCUACCGUAGUUGUCACUCCUCUCUACCUGCUCUACCACCUGCUGGUGGUUCCUGUCCUUCACAUGGCCGCCCUGGCACUAUUCACGGCGAGCGACAAGCACCCGUAUCGGCGCGCCGACGUGAAGAUAACCUACAUCGUCCUGUGCCUCACGGCAGCGCUGGAUGUCCUGGCGGUGUUCAUCCGGCAGCUGUUGUACCGGUUCAUGUCCAUGACAAAGGUCCCGGCCUUGUGCGAGACGGUACCUGGCUAUAACCUCGUCGACGCGGCGCUUUGGGAGGGCGACAAGAGCAUCGGAUGGAUAUACAAGUGCGCCAGGCGCAUGGGGCCUCAACUUGGUCAGUUGUACAAGAAGGUGGCACAAACCGUGAUCGCAGAUCUGGUGGAUGCACAAGACCGCGACCUUGCCAGUUACAGGAUCUUGGAUUCCAACAACUGGGCUCUCAGUGAGGAGCUGCAAGGGCACUGUGGCGAGGAGAUAAAAGAAAGCUUGCGCGUCUCGUUCGACCGGAGUGUCCUCCUAUGGCACAUGGCCUCCGACCUUUGCUUCCGCUACAUUGCAGCAGCAGAAUUAGGAGCAGAAGCAGCAGAAGGAGGAGGAGGGGGAGGAGCAGAAGAAAAAGUUGAAGGAUCAGGAGAAGAAGAAGAAGCAGAAGAGUACGAAGAAGAAGAAGAAGAACAGAAGAGGAGAGACCCGGCAUUACGGCUUCAUAUCAAGUGCACGGUGGCAAUAUCCAACUACAUGGCGCACCUGCUCAACUUCAACCCGGAGAUGCUGCUGACCGGCAGCAGGCACCAUCUCAUCUCCGAAGCCGUUGAGGAGCUCAAAUCCUCCUCUCUGUCCAAGACCAAGGACGAGUUAGGCCAAAAGGACGUCAAUGAGCUCAUUGCCGGCAUACUGGACCGAGCAGCUGCCGCCGAUGGACAUGGGGGUUACCUCCACGCCAAGAGCUUGGGUGAAGGUGGGGAGUUCCUCUCCUUCGUCUGGCUCGUGCUCUCGCUCAAGGGGGCCAAGAGCCUGGCCGACAAGCUGCAGAUGCCGCCGGAGGCUUCUGACACGGCCAAAUCAAACGCGCCGCCGCCGGUUACUUGA